GCAGACGCCAUUAUUCACAGAGACAGUCUCGGUAAAAAUGUCAUCUUAAAGUCGGAUUUCGGGUUUGAGGAACCGUUUUUGCACUUCCGUGGUAAAUUAUAUUUUGUUAAAUGUAACGUUAACUUAGUUGCUGUCUUCCUUGUUUGCCAAAUGAAUGUCGGAACCGUCGCAUUUGACAUUUUCAGCACACCGUCACAUCUCACUCGACGUGGAGAGCGCUGUGUGCUUUCAACAGAAGCUGGCAGAGGAAUUGUCAAGAAAAGCAUUACGACUUUUUUUAUUAUUCUUUAAAAGAGAUUAUACGACUAGGUGAAGAUCUGACAUCGCGGAAUUCUUCAAGGAUAACGCAACUUUUCUGCCAAACGAGGUCGUAAUUGCUGCUGUAUUGUGCAUCCCAAGCACCCCCUGCAUUCUUAUCAAGGGUUUGUUUCUUCCUGUGAAGAAAUCCUGAACAAGGGUCGACAGUUCAGAUGAAGGGAACCUACGCUUCCAAGACUAGUGUAUGAACAACUUCGAGAAUCCAUGUACAAUUUGAGCUUUUUUCAAAUCUCAACAUGGAACUUGAACUGAACAUGCAGCAAAAGGAAAAAAGUAGUAGUUUCCCCAAGCUGGCACAUGGCAAGAGAUACUAAAAGCACACAAACACUUGGAGCCCUGCUCUUAAUUUAGAUUGUAUAGUUAUUUUUUCUGCCUGGUGCUGUUUAAAACUAAAACACAUUGUUAAAUUAAUUGAUGUAAUAUUUUUGUCUUCACCUGUUAAAAGCAAAUAAAAGCUACUGA